UCCAUGUAAACUUCAACGCUUUAUCCUUUGUAUUCUGAUUCUCCAUUACUUCUAAGCUUCAACCGUAGCACUAACAAUAACAAACAAUAUUGGUUUUCACUUAGCAAGAUCAAUUGGGUAUCCAUGAAAAAACAAAAAGAAAAGAAUUAUAAUAUUUUAACAAUUCUUUUUAACAACUUUUUAAAAAUCGAAACCAUCUUAUUUGUCUGUUUUAAUUUAUUUUAAAAAAAAAUUUAAAACACAUCAAUCACAAACUCUCACUUAUGAAAAAGUUGUUAAAAAAACUUUUUAAAAAACAAACAUCUUUGAUGGUUGAGUUCAUAGGAAACUUCAAUAAAAUCACAUUUAUAAAAUUCUUAUAUUACUGAAUAAUUUUUAGAGUGGUAAUACAUUAACAAGCAUAAGUAAAUUACACAGUUUUUUUUCAUUUUUUUCUACCAAAACUAUUCUUUUACUUUUAAAAAAUAUUUAAAAAGGUGAAUCUUAUUGUGUCAAAGUAUGUAAUUUUUAUUGAUUCUUACGAACUUUGGGUGUUGGGAGAUCCAGUUUAUUUUAAAUUUGUUUAUUCUUUUGUUAACCUAUAAUACAAAGAAUUUUUUUUUUUUAAUUUAUGAAUUGAAAGUGCCUUUAUCUUAAUGACUUUGCUUCUCACACUACCAUUUACUAAUAAAAUAUCAUUUUCAACAUAUUUUGUAAUUUGUAAUGAACCCAUAUUCAAUCAACAUAAUAAAAUAAUUGUUUAUAUAUGGACAAUUACUAGAAGUUUUGACAACAUAUCACUCAUGUUAACUGAGAUUAGUGGGACAGUAACAGUUCAAUUUCAUGAACAAAAGAAAUAUCCGAUACAUCAUAAAAUAAACACAAAAAUCAACCCUUAAAUAUCAAUUUCAUACUCUCAUUCUUCUUAAUGAAGAUUAAACAAACAAAUAAAUAUAAUUAUACUAGAGAUAAAGUUAUCAUAUAUAUGCAAUUCAUGGUUUUCCAUAUCCUAGUUCAGCAUUCAAAUCACAGUUUUCAAUGCUCUUUUUUGCUUUCACCAAGGCUCUUCUGUUUAUUUCUAGAUUUACCUCUGGUUUAAUCUUCUUUGUUCUCAAAGUCAUUGCUUACUUCUCUAAAAUAGAGAUAUUUUCCUCCAAAGUAGUCACUUUCUCUUCCAACCUUUUUUAUCGCAAGAACUUUAUCAAGAGAAGUUGUCAUGGCUAAUGCAGAUUGUACAUAAGGUUUCAACCAUGAUAAAUCAAAUUCAAAAGUCUCAAGUUCCUCCCAUAAAGUUUGGAGAUGAUUGCAAGCGUUAUAGUUCAUGUCUCUCACCUUUUUAGUGUUUAGAAAAUAAAGAACUCUGCCAAGUGCGGUAAAAGUCGAUUCAAUGAAUAUUUGACUUUUCCUUUUCUUGUUAUGAAUAAGUGAGGGUAUCGUGAACAAACUUCUUCUAAUAGGGGAAUAAAAUUUUUCUCUACUUUUCCUAUGUCCCUAAAAUCCACUCUCACUGAUUCAUCAACUUGUUUCUCAUCCUCUAACUUAUGAUCCAAUAUACGAACUUCAAUAAUACAAGUAUCAUUUACAAUGAAUCCGUGACUAGAGUCCCAAAGUCCACCCAUAGAUAUGAAUGAGAAACCCCAAACACCUUGCUUUGAAUUGAAGGUGUGGCUACUUUCUGACAAAUUCAUACAUCAAGAAUGAGUUGUGUAUCGAGUUUAAAACAAAAUCAUACAAUUCUUGAAUAUAUAUAUAUAUAUAUAUAUAUAUAUAUAUAUAUAUAUAUAUAUAUAUAUAUAUAUAUAUAUAUAUUAUUUCUAUUGAGGAUAAGAAUAGUAGAUGAAUGAGGUGGAAGCAUUUUGUAAUUACUAACCAACUUAGGAGAAAGUGUAAUUACUACCAAUUGGAUCAUAAUUGUAAUCCAAUGGAGAUACUUUUGGUAAGAACAUAGAAAAAGUGAGUAUAAAAACAAAUAUUCUAAUUUAUAACUUUUGAGAUUCUGCUAUGGACAAAAAAAUAAAUACAGGUGAAACUUCUUAAAGCGAUAUCCUGUACUUCAAAACAGUAGUGGUACACCAAGUUUGGAUUAAGCAGUAGAUACAGAUAAGUGUUAAAGUGAAUCAGGGAUGUAUGACAAACACAAGUGGAAGAGAUAAUGUUAUGAUCAUAAGGAUGGUUUGGUUGUUUUAUAAUCUGUUUCUUGAGGUUUAUGGUCUUCAAGAAAUGUGUUGUGCUUAAAGAAUGUGAGUUAGUGGUUGUGCUUUAAGUGUAGUUUAGGUUGUGUUUUAUGAGAAUCAAAUAAGUUUAAUAAGGACAAGUGAAAGAAAGAAGGCAUGAUCAUGAAGGUAGAAGAGAUUUUAUGGAUGUUAUGAAGACGAAUCAAUAUAGUUAGUUCCUUUUUUAGUGAGUUUCAGUUGAGUGUGUAGAGAAAAAGAAAGUAUAGAAAGAUGAAUUGUUUCAGUAGCAAUGAUUUAAACUCUGUAAUCAUCGAAAUAGCUACAAGUUUUACAGAUCUUGGAAAGAAAGCAGAGGGAAGGUUAAAUAGUUCUAAUGUAAGUCUUAAUUCAAGUAAGANUGGGUUUUUGGAAUUUAUGUUUUUCAAGGAAUGGAGAUAAUAAUAAAGAAAUGGAAUGAAAAGAUUAAUCGUAUGAAAUAACGAUUUAGGGGAGGACCCGUCACAGAUUUCAGAAUUUCAAAGUUUAAUACAUUUAUACUAAGUACAUAACCAAGAUCAAACAUAUCAUAUAGUAGCAUACAAUAUUUUCACAUACCAUUAAAAUUAUCAAAUAUACACACAUUAAAUCAUGCAUCCAUAAAUACAAAGUAAUCAUAAUUAAAUCUUAUAAGCUUUCCUUACCUUUAAUUCCAGCUAAAUUUCUAUGUUCCUUGACAACAACUACUUCUAUGGUUUUUGAAGUUCAAGGUCUGAUUACACGAAAUUUGGAUUCAGAGAAAUGGCUUAACAAUCACAUACAAGCUUAAAGUGUGCGUACAUGCAAGAGUACAAAGAAGCUUCAAAGACCAGAAACACUUACCAGUUUAGAAUGGAAAUCUGAUCAGUGCAAAUGGAAGCUCUUGUCUCCAGGAAGAAUUAAUCUGAAGACAGGUUGAUGAUCGGAGGAAGAGGAUGAUCAGAAAUCUAGAGAAAAGUUCUAAGGUUUUAGAGAGAAGAGGAGAAAAUGGUGUUUUCUAGAAACUGAGGAAAAAGAAGGGUUGCAUGUAGAAAGUGACACCAGAUUUAAAAUUUCACCUUAAAUAUUGCCUCCACUAAAAAGUUUGGUCCACUCCUGCUUGUCACUUGACUUCCACUUUCUGGAAACUCACAUUCUCUGCUACUUGCGGAUCAUGAUGGACGGGAAAUUAAAUGUACUGCCGUCCCUGUCCCCCACUAUCCUAAGGAAUUUAAUGGAACAUGACACUUGUUAUCCACUAUCCUAAGGAAAAUAAAAAGACUGUUACACAUAGUUUAAAAAUUAAGAUAAUAACAAUUUGAAUAUAUGUUUUUUCUUUAAUUAUUUCAAGAAGUGUGUUUUAAAAAGAAACAGAAAUAACAAUAUCUUGUGAUAGAUUAUGAACAGUUUUAUAAAAUUGAAAACAUAAUAUAUAAUAUUUAAUAACACAAAUAAUUAUUGAUUUUAAAUGUCACAUUUGGGAAAUUCGCAUCUAAAAAACUCUAUAUAAACAGAAUAAUCUAUACUAAACUUUUGCUUUAUAAUAGGAAUAAAUAAAAAAUAUUUUGUAACAGAAAUAUUACUUUCAAACUAUUCAUAAAAGGUUAAAAUAAUUGUCUACAAAUCCCACGUAAAAUUUAAUAGCAUAUUAAUUUUAAAUAUCUAAUAACUAAUGGAUCUUUUAAAAAACAAUCACAAAAAAAAAAAAAUAUAAUAUCAAUCCAACUCUCACAUAAGGAAUUAGCAUUAUCUUCAAUCAAAAAUCGAAGAAAAUGUGAGUUUAUGAAUAUUCAUGGUUAUAUGUUACUAAACUUUUCUAUUUUUACUCAAGAUGAAUUUUAAACUCACACUUGAAUAUCACAACAAUAACAAAUGAAGAAAACUUAAAAUCAAUGUCUUUGAAACUAUAACAAAAUUUAUACAUUAAAAUUAUACAAAAAUAUUGAUAGAACAAACUGAGUUUAGAAGGAAGAUUGAAUAGAAACUUAAAAUCUUAAUUAGACACCACAAUAAAAUAGAUGUUAACUAAAAUAUAGAAUACACAUAAUAUUUUGUAUUAGUUCACUUUAAUUCACGAACUACAUAAUAUUUUCAAUUAUUAUGCAUACUAGAAUUGUCAAUAUCCCCAAUCAUAUUCAAAUAUUUACCUCUGAACACUUUGUAAACAAUGAACUUUUUAACAAAUUAAUUGUCCUCCAUAUCCUAACCCAUCAUAUUAAUUACAUUCCACAAAGCCUUCAGUUAUUUUAGUCAAUUCUUUUCUUAUUAUUUCAAGAUUUUUUUUUUCUAUCAUUUUUUUUCCUUGAGAAUCUUUAUUUCCUUUUCUAAAGCAGACACCUUAUUUCCCUUCUUCUUUUUCACUUGAACAUGGUGUUGCAACUAAGUCAAAUCAAAUUUGAAUGUUUCAAGUUCUUCAUAAAAUUUGGAGAUUAUUACAUACAUCUCCAUCCAUAUCUUUCAUCUUUUUAGCCUUAAAGAAAAUGUAGAACUCUACCCAAAGCUGUGAACGUACAUUCAACAUACCUAAGGGUUCUCUUCUUUUAACCAUUAAUAAGCAAACAUACAUACUUUUUAAAACCGUGGAAAUUUUUUUCUUUCCAUAUCCUUAAAACCCCCACUAGCUCAACAAAUGUAGUGAACGUUAGGUAAAGGUUUAUCAGUAUGUUUCGUAGGUUUAACCUUAAUCUUGUGUGCUUGAUCUACUUGAUUAUAUUUCAAUUUAUAAUUCUAUAUAAAUCUAUUGUUAGGCUUAUAAAGUUCAUAUAAAGAUAUGAAUUGUACAAAAUUCUAAACAAUUAUUUUAAAAUAAUAAUAAAUAUUUAUAUUCAUUUGAUAUAUAUAUAUUAUUGUCGUAAAAAGGAAAUUUAUAUAUUUAAAAAAUAUAAAAAAUAAAGAAAAAUAAUGUAAAAUAAAUGUAAAAAAAAUUAUGUAUUAAAAUGUUAUUUUUCAUCUCUUUAACAUGAUAAGUGUUUAUUUCCUUAAAAAAAAGAAACAUACCAAAACUCACUCAAUCACUACAUGGAGAAGAUUUUAUAUGCAUUUGGACCUGAAAUGCUAUCAAUAUCGCUAAAGAUCUUUUAUCUAUAAUUACUUUGGUCUACCUCUACAAUUAAUGUAUAGUAAAAGUUUAAGUUAAUAUACUAUGCAUCAUUAAAUAAAUACAUAAAUGAACCCUUAAAUAUCAAUUUCAUACUCUUGUUCUACUAAGGAAGAUUAAUACAUAGUAGCAUUUAUUCAACACAAUAAAUAUAAUAUACUCAAUAACAAAAUUAUCAUAGCCAAUCAGGUCAAACAUGUUCAACAUAAAAAAUCACAUCGAUAAUUAGAAGAACAUCUAAAUGUUGAGCAUCCAAAUCACAUUCUUCAAAACCUUCUUUUGAUUGAACCAAGUCUCUUCUUGUUAUUUCUAGAUUUACCUUUGCUUCAAUCAUCUUUGUCGUCAAAUUCUUUAUUUCUUUCUCUAAAACAGUCACAUCAUUCUCCAAAGUAAUAACAUUCUCCUCCAAUCUUUUCAUAGUAAGAACUUUCUCAACACAAGUUUUCAUAUCCAAUGCAGAUUGUACAUGAGGUUUCAGCCAUGACAAAUCAAAUCCAUAUAUCUCUAAUUCCUCCCAUAAAGUUUGGAGAUGAUUGCAAGCAACAUCGUCCAUGUCUUUCACUUUUUUAAUGUUGAGAAAAUAAAGAACUCUACCAAGCGCUGUAAAUGCCCAUUCAGUAAAUUUUUUACUAUUCAAUCAAAGAAGGAUAUUGUGAACAAACUUCUUCCAAUAGAGGAAUAAAGUCUUUCUCUACUUUUCCUAUGCCUCUAAAAUCCACCAUCUCACCAGAGCUAGAGAUCAUUUUCUUCGUUGAAAUAUUCUCAGUGUUUUGGACAACCUUAUUUUUAUGAACCGAUAUAUGAAGUUCAACUAUACAAAUAUCAUUCACGAUGAACCCAUCAGCAGAGGUGUAAAUUGUACACGAAAGGUCAUUCCUUGGGUUGAAGGUGUGACUAAUUCCUGACAAAUUCAUACACCAAGAGUGAGUUGUGUAUCGAGUUUAAAACAAAAUAAUAUGAUUAUCAUAGGUCUAAUCGUAAAAUUUACCUUUUAUUAUAUUCCUAGUGGGGUUUAGCUGAUUAAUCAGAAUGAAUUUUAAAUUUGCAAAUUUUUCACAUCGACGAGGCCAACCACUAACAGAAUCCAAAAUAAUUGACAAAUACAACUUCUCUGUUGCAGCUCGAAUGAUACGAAUCCCCCUAAAGACAAAGAAACCAAAUAUAAUGAGAAAAACAGAUAAAAUGAUAAGAAAGAGCAACAUGUAGAUUAUGUAUAAUAAUUCAUACAAGAACCAUGUAUGGCCAUCGACAGUAAACGUUUUCAAAUAUUCUGUGGCAAACGUUUGGCAAGAAGUUUGUAAGGGUCCAUGUAAACAUCUGAAACACUUUAUCCUUUGUAUUCUGAUUCUCCAUUGCAGAAACUUGAAACUUGUAAGCUUCAACCGUAGCACUGAAAAAAGCAAACAAUAUUGGUUUUCACUUAAGAAGAUCAAACGAUUGGGUAUCUAUGGGGGAAACAAAAAAACUACGAUGGUUGAGUUCACAAAGAACUUCAAUAAAAUCUCCCUUAUAAAAUUUUUAUAAACUUUUCAACAAGAGUUUUGAAAGUUGUUUUAUCAUUAUUAUAUAAUGUAUAUUUAUACGUAUGAAAAUUUAAGUAAUAAUUUUACUUCUACGCAAUUCUUACGAAUUUGGGCCUUGGCAGGCGAAGUUUAUUAGAUUGCGUAUUGAGAAAAGUUUUGGAAAUUGUUUUUACACUAUUAAAUUCUGUUUUCCUGGAAAUUGAACCAGGAUAAUUGUAAAGUCACAAAUUUUAUUGGAUGAAAUACUAAAAUAACUUUUUUUGACAUAUUCUUAUUUUUUAAAAUAAGUUUAGUCGUGUAUUAAGAUAUAUAUAGAAUUUUUUAACAAAAAUAACAUAAUAUUAUAAUUAAUGUAAACAAUUAGAAUCAAUUAUCAUUAUACUGUAACCUUAUAUAUUAACUAUAAAAUUUCAUAAUCUGAUAUUUUUUAAUCAAAGAAAAGAAAUAAGACGAAUUUUGAUACAUUUUUAUUGUUAAAUUUAAAAAUUAAAAGAAUAUAAUAUUUUUAACUCAUUUAGAUUACGGUAUUUGAUAUGAAAAAUACCUUUUAUGUUAAUAUGUAAUUUGUAUGAUUUGAAUUUUUGUUAAUUAAACUGAAUUAAAUAUACUUUUAAUCUUUUUAUAAUUAGAAUCCUUUUAAUUUGAAUUUUGUUACAUUUUGAUUGUUAAAUCUAAAAAUUAAAAAGAUGUGGUCCUUUUAACUUAGGUUAUCUUUUUUAACAUAUCAAACCCAUUUUAUGCUAAUAUAUAAGUUAUUUAUACUAACUAAGAUAUUUUUGCUUUAAUAUUUGUCUGAAAACGUGUUUGACAUUCACGGUGAACCCAUUACCAGAGUUAUAAAUUUUACCCAAAUCGGCAUUCCAACUAUCCAAGCUUGAAUUGAAGGUGUGGCUAAUUUCAGAGAAAUUCAUACAUCAAAAGUCAGUUGUGUAUAGGGUUUCAAACAAAAUAAUAUGAUUAUCAUAAGUCUAAAUGUGAAAUAUACCUUUUAUUACAAUUCUUCUGUGGUUGAGCUUAUUAAUGAGAAUGAGUUUGAAUUUUAAAAAAUUUCCAUUAGGACCAGCAUCCAAAUAAAUAAACAAACAGUGCACAUUAUUCCCAUUUGGAAUAAUAUGAAUCCUCCUAAAAACUUAAUGAGAAAAACAUAUGAAAUAAUAAAAAAAAGGAAAAUGUACAGUACACAAUAAUUUAAUCAAACACCAUUUGUGGCCAUCGAGAGAAAGCGUAUCCGAGUAAUUAUUGUAGAAGCCUAACGAGGAAAAGUUAGUAAUGGUGCACUUAGGAAGAUCAAACGAUUCUUCAUUUCAGUAGCACUGACAAAAACAAACAAUAUUGAUUUUCACCGAGGAAGAUCAAACGAUUGAGUAUCCAUGAGAAAUAAAGAUCUUCAAUGGUUGAAUAAAAUCACACUAUAAAAUAAGUAUUUUCCCAUAUCAAUAUAUCACAAUGCACAAGGAACUCUAAUAUCAAAAACUAAAUGUCACAGUAAGUUAAAUGUUUGUUUUUUUGAAAGAAAGACACAAUUUUAAUGGUAGAAAACCAUAUUUUGUUUCAGAAUAUGAAUUUAGAGAAAUAACUAAUUGGCAGCUUCAUAUGGGUAACAUGAACGAUGGAGCUAAAGAUAGCUAUAUAAAAUAGACAACUAUGGAUAUAAUAAAUACACAAAAUGAAUGACACAAAACCAGCACCUACGACAGCUAUAGGAACUUCAAUAAGAGAUUGUGAUAACAUGAGAGCCAUUGAUGGUUUUCAAAGCUAUAUAAGAACAUUUCCAGUGAAACUUACUCAUAGAUAAAAAUAUUAUUGGAAUCCUUAUUGAGAAAAGUUUUGGAAGUUGUUUUUACAUUAUUGAAUUCUGUUUUCCAAUGUACUGGAAAUUGAACCACACCAGGAUAACCGUAAACGUCACAAAUUUUAAUAACUCUACUUAAUGUAGUCUUUCAGAAAAGUUUAUUCAUUUUCUCCUAUGAAAUAUUGACAUCAUUUUUUUUUUGUUUGGUUUCAGAGUCUUUUAACCUACUCUUAUUUUUUAAAAUAAGUUUAGUCGUGUAUUAAGACAUAUAUAGAAUUUUUAACAAAAUAAAAUAAUAUUAUAAUUAAUGUAAGCAAUAAGAAUCAAUUAUCAUUAACCUUAUAUAUUAACUAUAAAAUUUCACAAUCUAAUAUUUUUUUAAUCAAUGAAAAGAUAUAAGACGAUGGUACAAGAUAAUAGUCAUGUUAUUUAUAAAAAAAUUAAAGUACAAAUAUUUAAGCAAAGGACUAAAAAAAUUAAAAUAUAUAUAUAUAUAUAUAUAUNAUAUAUAUAUAUAUAUAUAUAUAUAUAUAUAUAUAUAUAUAUAUAUAUAUAUAUAACAACUAUGUAUUUUUUAUAAUAUUGAAAAACAAUUUUAAAAGAAAUUACCUGUAACUAUCCUAUCAAAGUCGCUAAUGAUAUGAUAAGUUAAUUCAUAAGUAUACUUAUUGUUACAUUGUCGGUUGACGUUCUUAUUUAACAAGGUAUAGUAAAAUUGAUAUGGAGAAAAAGAUUUAGAGAGUCUCUCGAAUUAAAACGAGUUAAAUAUAUUUUUAAUUUUUUUACAUAAAUUUGAAAUUUGUUUUUAUUUAAAAUUUUGAUAUAUUUACUAGUACAUACAUGAGUCUAGGAUAUAAAUUUGGCUCUAUGAUAAAAAAAAAUAGGAUACAUACAUACAUGAGUAUAAGGUUACAUUAAUGUAAUAAUGAAAGAAUUUUGUUAAUUCAAAAAUAAAAUAGUAAUCAUACUUAAGAACUAAGUUGUGAAGUUUAAUUCCAACAUAUUUUUAUCUUAUUUAGCUUUUCAUCUUAACUUUGAUUUCUUGAUCAUUAUAAUAUUAAUCAAAAACCACUUUGAUUACAAAUUCAUAAUAACAUUAUAGUUUUUUAAUAAGAAUUGAUCAAAUCCUAUAGAUACAAUUUGGUACUAUAAUUGAACGAGUGCACACGCUCUGUUUGCUCAAACAACUUCAAACACGACUUAAUCAUAAAAUUUAAUCAAUUAAUUACAUUUGGAUUAAAAUUGGAUUAUACUAAUAUUUGAACAAAUUUUGUUGAGUUGCUGUUGACGUUGUAUAUUUAAGCUUGAUUAGCCAAACUUUGAAUUCGAACAAAGAAAUAACUAUAUUUCGAUGGGAUAUGAAUGAUUACCGGAUAAAGUUCUAACACUCAUAUAUAUCAAUCCUAGAAAAUAUCUCAUUUUCUCUUUCUUUUCAAAAUGUCUGUUAAUCUUUUUUUGUAUUUCUUUAUUCUUUAUAUAUGAAGAAUUAAUUAUUUAAAUUCGAUUCAUGAACUUGAUCACAAAUUAAGUGUCAAAAUAUUUGGACUGACUUUUUUUUUAUAAUAUUGAAAUUUUUUUCACAGAAGGUAAUGAAUAAUUUGCAUUUAGUUGCAUCAUGAUUCAUUCGUAUGGCGUAAUAUAAGUUUUCUUUGGAAUUCAGCUUCACACACGAAAUAUUACGGAACAUCACCAUUGAUAAUUUGGUUGAUGUACAUGUUUAUUUAAAUUAAUUUCCGAGUUGUGGAUUUUAGUGAUAAAAUAACUCUAUUGAAAUGAGAUAUGAAUGGACACUAAAUGAAGACCUUGGGAAUGACACUUUAAUAUUUAAUAUUUAAGUCAGUAAAAAUAUAUAUUAAAAUAGACCUGAAAAUAAUAAUAGAGGUAUGUAUAAGUUUUUAUACAUAGAGCCAAAUUUGAUAUACUAAGCAAAGGAUGUUGUGAACAUGUACUUUUUAUAACCGUGGAAAUUUUUUUCGUUCCAUAUCCUUAAAACCCACAAGCUCGUCAAAUGCAUUGAACGUUUUCUUAGGUAAAGGUUUAUCAGUAUGUUUCGUAGGUUUAUCCUUAAUCUACUUGAUUAUAUUUCAACUUAUCAUUUUAUAUAAAUCUAUUGUUAGGCUUAUAAAGAUAUGAAUUGUACAAAAUUCUAAACAAUUAUUUUAAAAUAAUAACUCAUUUAUAUUCAUUUGAUACAUAUAUUACUAUCGUAAAAAGGACAUUUUAAUAUUUAAGAAAAUAUAAAAAAAUAAAGAAAAAUAAUGUAAAAUAAAUGUAAAAAAAUUAUGUAUUAAAAUAUUAUUUUUCAUCUCUUUAGCAUGAUAAGUGUUUAUUUCCUUAAAAAAAAGAAACAUACCAAAACUCACUCAAUCACUACAUGGAGGAGAUUUUAUAUGCAUUUGGACCUGAAAUGAUAUCAUAUCACUAUAGAUCUUUUAUCUAUAAUUGCUUUGGUCUACCUCUACAAUUAAUGUAUAGUAAAAGUUUAAGUUAAUAUACUAUGCAUCAUUAAAUAAAUACAUAAAUGAAGCCUUAAAUAUCAAUUUCAUACUCUGGUUCUAUUAAGGAAGAUUAAUUACAUAGUAGCCUCUAUUCAACACAAUAAAUAUAAUAUACUCCAUGACAAAAUUAUCAUAGCAAAUCAGGUCAAACAUGUUCAACAUAAAAAAAAAAUCAUAUCGAUAAAUAGAAGAACAUCUAAAUGUUGAUAAACUUAUAAAAAGAAAACAUGUCCACUACAAUAAAUUAUUGGGCAAACAACAUAAUCAUGAAUUAUGUUUUACCAUACAUAUCUGAGUUGAGCAUCGAAAUCUCAUCCUUCAAAGCCUUCUUUUGCUUGAACUAAGUCUCUUCUUCUUAUUUCUAGAUUUACCUCUGCUUCAAUCAUCUUUGUCGUCAAAUUCUUUAUUUCUUUCUCUAAAAUAGAUACAUUCUCCUCCAUAGUAGCCACAUUCUCUUCCAAAAUUUUCACAACAAAAACUUUUUCAACACAUGUAUUGAUGCCCAAGACAGAUUGUACUUGAGGUUUCAGCCAUGACAAAUCAAAUUCACAUGUCUCCAAUUAGCAGAUUUAAUAUAACCAAAACAAACAAACCGCUAAUAAAAUUCAUUUGUUUUGUAGUGAGUUUACUAAAAAAUUUAAAUGUAAUUGUGCUAUUAAACUCCCCUAAUGACACGAUAAGUUAAUCCUUAGUUAUUAUUACAUCAUCGGUUGACUUUAUAAUCAAACACCUAUACUAAAAGUGGAAAUGAAUAUCACGAGAAAGAAUUGGAGAGAAAAGGUACAUACAUAAAGUGUAACCCCUAUAAUAUCAUUUUUUAUUGUGAUUUUAAAUUAAAUUUAAUAAUAUCAUACUUUUUAUUGUGAUUUCAAAUUUUUUAUAUAAAAUUAUAUUAUUAAUAGUUGGAAAUAAAAAGGUAAAUACAUAAAGUGUAACCCCUAUAGAAAUAUGAAUUGAAAUUAAAAGUUUAUUUCUGUUAAAUACAAACAUGAUAAUAUUAUUUUAAAAUCGAAAAUAAAAUAGAAAAACCCCAUAUCAUCUUAUUGUUUAUGAGGAUGGAUUUGAGAAAAAUAUAAAUGUUUGCUUCCAUAUAUUUCAACUGAUUUGAGAGAGAUUCUAAAAUUUCCAUCCCUUGUGAAUCAUGAAUGAAGUGAUUAAGAGAGAAAAGGUACAUGGACUUCUAAAUUUUUUAUCAUAACUUUUACAUAAAUAUCUCCGUUUCUUUUUUAACUUUACAUAUGCUUUUAAUUAUUAUUAUUAUUAUUAUUAUUAUUAAACUUUGUGGAUAAUUAAUAAUUAUUAUUUUUACAAUUGAUAAUUAUAAUAAUAAUAAUAAUAAUAUUAAUUUUAAUAUUAAAAUUAAUAAUUAUUAUUAUUACAAUAAUAAUAAUAAUUAGAUUUUAUUUUAUAUAAAUGUUAAUCAUAAAAGUAAUCUAAUAAUUAUAUCUACUGUAUAUUUUUUAUCCAUUACAUUAUCAAAUUAUUUACAAAUUCUAUUCUCAAAUUUCUUCACUUUGAAAUUUCUAUCCAUAAAAACAAAAAAUUCCAUUUUUUCAUCUUUAUCUUUUAAAAAUUCUCAAAUUUCUUUCAAAUUCAUUCUCCAAAACAAAAAGAAACUCAUUCUUCAAAAUAAAAAGAAAAACGUACUGACCUACCUCUACAAGCAUUUGCUUUGCACACCAAUAAACAUAAUUAUGUCGCUAACGGAUAUAUCUCUAUAAUUAGUUUUGUCGACCUCUAUGUUCUCUUUAUAUUAUGAUAAUUUUUUCUUCCCUGUUAAAAAUCGGAAUGAUCAGAAAGUUGGAGAAGAUUUUUCCCAAAAGAAAAAAUUUUUAUAAUAUUACAUUUUUUACAGUAAUUUUCAAUUAUUAUGUGACCUAAAUUAUCAAAAUCAAAUAUCAUGCAACACAUUCACUUUCAAAAAAAUAUCUUUUCUUUUAAUUUAGUUUUACUAAAUUAUAAUAAAGACUAUAACCAACGUCUUUAAUAUCAUUAAUCUUCCUCUAUUUUUUUUUUCCUCUUUUUCUUCAACGUUUCAAGAUGAGAAUCAUAUUUUCAAAUCCACAUUUUAUACUACUACAACUUAACGAAAUACAAUAAAAUAAAAUAUAAACAAAAGGUAUGCAUGACUUUCCACUUUAGAAAUUAAUUUUAAGUCUAAAAAAGAAAUAAAGGUGAUUCAAAAGGCAUACCGAAAACUUGACAUAAAAAAAAGGUAGUUGAAAUGAAUAAUCAUCGUUUCAACACGUGUGUAAUUCAUCAUUAUAUUUAAGUUUUAAAAACUCCUAUAAUUAUUAUAAGAUUUGGGUUUUAAACCUGAACUUAACUUCUCCAAAUUGAUUUAAAAGUAUUUUAAAAAAAAUAUUCUUUUGUUAAGAUAAUACAAAGUUCUGAGAUUUUUUCUUAGAAUUUAUGAAUUCAAAGAGCCCUUUGUCUUAAUGAUUUUGCUUCUGACACCAAUAUUUAGUAAUAUCAAUUACGAUAAAUUUCAUAAAUAUUGUAAUGGAAUGACAUUCAAUUAACAUAAUAAAAUAUGUGUUUAUAUAUGGACAAUUAAUAGAAGUUUUGACAGAAUAUCACUCAUGUUAACUGAGAUUAGUAUGAAAGUAACAAUAUAGGAUGCAUCAUAAAAUAAACACAUAAAAGAACCCUUAAAUAUCAAUUUGAUUCUCUAAUUCUGUUUAAUGGAAGAUUAAACACAUAAUAGGUAUGAUUAUACUAGAAAACUUAUUUCACCAGGUACCUUUUUGUUAUUUCAACAUGUAAUUGUUUUAUUAAACUCCCUAAUGACAUGAUAAAUUAAUCCAUUGUUAUUAUUACAUCAGCGUUUGACUUUAUAAUUAACACCUAUACUUAAAGUGGCAAUAGGAAAAACAUUUAGAGUCUUCCAAAAUAAAAUUAAGAUUAACGCUAAAAUCACGAAUAAAACAGAAUUUGUGAGAAAAGAGAUAAUCAACCUAAUUUGAAAUUUGGAAACUUCGUGCUUUUCCUCUUAAUUUGUGGGACAGUAAAAGUUCAAUUUCAUGAACAACACAAGAAAUAUACUAUGCACAAUAAAACAAACCCUUAAAUAAUAUAAAUUUCAAAAUCUCUUUCUGUUUAAUGAAGAUUAGAAAUAGUAGCAGCUAUUUUUACUCAAUGAAUAUAAUUAUACUUGAGAAUAAAGUUAUCAUAUGCAACUCAUGGUUGUCAAUAACCGAGUUCAAUAUUUACUCAUUAACAUAUUCAAUUGAUGGUUUUCCAUAACCCAGUUUUGCAUCUAAAUCACAGUUUUCAAAGUCUUCUUUUGCUUUCACCACGUCUCUUCUUGUUAUUUCAAGAUUUACCUCUGCUUCAAUCAACUCCGUUCUCAGAGUCUUUGUUUUCUCUUCUAAAGAAGUUACCUUCUCUUCCAACCUUUUCACUUCAAGAACUCUCUCAAUACGAGUUUUCAUGCCUAAGGCAGAUUGAACAUGAGGUUUCAACCAUGACAAAUCAAAUCCAAAGGUCUCAAGUUCCUCCCAUAAAGUUUGGAGAUGAUUGCAAGCAUCAUCGUCCAUGUCUCUCACCUUUUUAGUGUUGAGAAAAUAAAGAACUCUACCCAAAGCUGUUAAAGCCCAUUCAAUAAAUAUUUGACUUCUCCGCUUCUUGUUAUUCAGAAGUGAGGGAUAUCGUGAACAAACAUCUUCUAACAGAGGAAUAAAAUCUUUUUCUACUUUUCCUAUGCUCCUAAAAUCCACCGCCUCACCAGAUGAUGAGGUUGAAAUCAUUUCCAUGGAGGAACGAUUCUCAAUGCUUUCAACAAGCUUAUUGUCAAUGUUCCUAUCUGAUACAUCAACUUCUUUCUCAUGCUCUAACAUAUGAACCAAUAUGUGAGCUUCAAUUAUACAAGUAUCAUUUAGAAUGAACCCGCGACUAGAGUCCCAAAAUUCACCCAAAGGUAUGUAAGAAGUGAAUCCCCAGUCACCCUCCUUUGAAUUGAAUUUAUGGCUACUUUCUGACAAAUUCAUACAUCAAAAGUCAGUUGGAUAUCAAGUUUAAAACAAAUUCAUACGAUACUCAAAUAAAUAUAUUGAUAAAAUAUUACAAAGUUUUAUUUGUUUAUGAUGUCUACUUCUUAAGUAAAAUGGUUUCCACUUACAAAUUUCUAACAAACAAUUUGGGAUAAAGUACAUGCGACAAGCAACUAAAGGUUGGAUUUUGAAGUAUAUUAAGGAAAACUUAAGGAUAGAAAAAAGUAAAUGAGAAAAACACAUUGGAAGCUAAAUGAUUCGAUUCUUCCAGGAAAUUAAAAAUCCAAAUGAGAGUCGUGUGAAAUUAUGAAAUUACUGGAAGAACAUUUUCAUUCACCUAAGAAAAUAACAUCCAAAUAUCAAAAUGAGAGAUAAGGGUGAAAUAUACCUCUUAUUAUAUUUCUUUCGUGAUUGAGCUGAUUAAUCAGAAUGAGUUUGAAAGUUGCAUGUUUUUCCCAUCCAUGAGGCAUAGUAUCAACACCAGCAUCCAAAUAUAUUGACAAAAAGUUCACAUUAUUCCCUUUUGGAAAGAUAAGAAGCCUCCUAAAAGGAAAGUUACCAAACUUAAAUGAGAAAAAAAAAAAGGAUGAAAUCGUAUUUACAGUACGCAGUAAUUUAAUCAAGCACCAUGUGUGGCCAUCCAGAGAAAACUUAUCCGAGUACAAUUUCUUGGAGUUUAACAUGGAGAGUUUUGUAAGGGUCCAUGUAAACUUCUGAAACAUCUUAUCCUUUGUAUUCUGAUUCUCCAUUUCAGUAACUUUCGAUCUUCAACCGUCGCUCUGACAAAAACAAAUAAUAUUGAUUUUCAGUUAGGAAGAUCAAAUGAUUCAGUAUCCAUGAGAAACACACAUCAGAUUUCACGAAGAACUUUUGAGAAAAAUUUUGAAAGUUGUUUUUUCAUUAUUGUGUAAUGUAAAUUUUGAGGAUAAUGUAAAAGUCACAAAUUUUAAUUUGUCUAUUUAAUGUAGUCUUUAUGAAAAGUUUAUUCAUUUUCUUGGAUGAAAUAUUAAUAUCACUUUUUUUAACCUAUUUUUAUUUUUUAAAAUAAGUUUAGUCGUGUAUUAAGAUAUAUUCAAUUUUAUAACAAAUAUAAAAAUGAUAAUAUGUAGAUACUAAGAGCAACUUGUCAUUUUAUUGUAACCAUAAUUUCACAAUCUCAUAUUUUUUAAUUAAUGAAAAAAAAUAAGACGAUGGAACAAGAUAAUAGCCAUUCAUGAAAAAAAAAAUUAAAGUACAAAUAUCGAAUUAAAAGACUCGAAACUUAAUUAAAAAAUAUAAAUAUAACACAUGUAAUAAUAAAAGAUAAAGGAUAGUGUAUGAUAAUAAAAUAUUCAUAUAUAUUAUUAAUAUAUGAAUAUUUGAAUCAAUAAAUAUAUUUUAGAUAAGUGAAAGUAUCUUAGAAUAUCUUACAACUACUUUGUGUUAGUAAAAUGGAAUGAACCUCGUUAGAGUGUAUUAUUACAAUAUUUGAUGGGUUAAGUAUAUACAAUAUUUUUUCUAAUUUAUUGAUUUGUAUAUUUAUUUAUAAUAAAUUGCUUUAAUAGAAAUUUAAAACUUUUUAUAAACUAAUGUGAAUAUAGAUUUAAAAAAGGUAUUUAAUUUAAUAUUUAUAAAUGAAUUGGAAAUAUAAUAUUUGAAGAGCCAUUAUAAUAAAUAAGAUUUAUUUGAAGAACGUCUAAUUUGGAUAGAAAUAUUUUGUUUGAACUCAAAUACUAGUAUUGUACGUCAUGUAUCAUAUAAGAAUGUUAAUUUGUAUAGAUUUAUAGAAUAAUUAUGUAACUAUGCUAUCAAAGUCCCUAAUGACAUUAAAAGUGCUAAGAAAAAGGUUUGGAGAGUCUCUCAUAUUAAAAUGGAUUAAAAAUGUUUAUAAUCUUUAAACUGUAAAAUUAAAUUUUGAGCCUAACACCACUUUAACUCUUCAAGGCUGGAAAAAAUGUAUGACAAACAUAUCUUAAUCGAUUGUAUUUUCACUUAUGUAAAUAAGUUAUAUGAAGCACGUGAUAAUAUAAAGACAAAUGUUAAUAAAUACAUUAAGUAAAUGAUAGUUUUGUGGAAAUAUUUUAAUUUUAUGUGAAAUAUGAGAAGAUGUUUCUUGUGUAGUUUAAGAAUUAAAGUAAUAACAAUUUGAAUAUAUACUUAUUUGAAGUCUUUUAAAAUGUAACAGAAAUUACAAUAUCUUCUAAGAGACAAUGAGACUCUCAACUACCAAAAACAAUCCAUAAAUCAUGCUCACAACAUUAUUGUAGUGUGUUAUAACAAUUUUCAUUUAUUAUNUACACUAAAAAUGUCCAUAAUUAUAGAUUUUUUUUUUCUCGAUCAAGAUCACUUUCGAACAUAGAAGUCAAAUUUUCAUCAUGAUUUUUUGUUUUUUAAUUUUGCAAGUUUUUUUUAAGAAUUGAACUUUUAGCAGCAGUUUUGUUCUUACUAGAAUCCAGAAGAUGAACUUUCAAACAAGUGUCAAAAUUUGAAUGGAUUAGAGAAUUAUGUGUGUUAUAUUGAGGUUGGAAUAUAGAAAAAUAUUUAAAAAAUUCUCUAACGCUCAAGUAAAUAAGAAAAUUUAUAUUGAAUGAAAGAAAAUGAGUAUGAAAAAGUGUAUUUCUUGAUGAAAUAUCAUGCAUAUUUGGAGGGUAUAUGAGUCCUACGACUUAUGUGAUAAAUAGACAAUAUUGAAAUGAUAAGUAAUAUCAAAAAAUAACAUCUUACCGGAUAUAUGAUAGUUAGAAUAAUAAUAAGAAUAAUAUUUGUGUGUGUAUGGUUGAGAGAAGAACCGCCUUGAGAAGAAAUAAAAGUUUGGUGUAUUGUGAGUCAAUAAAAAAGAGUACCCAUGAUAAAGAGACAACCAUAAGGGUUGUGUUGGUUGUUUUAAGAGUUUGUAAGAGUGUAAUGUUGUUGAGUUUGAGAGUUAAGGUUGUUAACUUUGUAUAUUUUGGAUUUUUCAGAAAAGUUGUCACUUUCUUACUAUAUUUAAAAAGAAAUAUCUAAUACGAGAAUUUUUCGCCACGCACUUACUAAUCAAUCAUCCCAAAAUUCACUUUUUCUGUAAUUUUGUUUGAUUGAUCUCAAAAUAUCAUAUUACAUUUAAAUCACAAAACAAUAUUACAAAACUGUCUAACUCUCAAUUAAGGGAGUUUAAAUUGAGUAAAAGAAAAUGAGUAUGAAAAAAUGUAGAUGCAGCCCGCCCCAUGUAGCCAUCUGUCCACCAAUAGUCAUCUCCCCCAACAAUUGCCUCUAUAAAAAGAAGAAGAUGAUGAUAAUUCUAAUGAUUAUAAUUUAGGAACUUUUUAAAAUAUUUAUGUAUUGCUUUUUAUUUUCAAACUUAGUUCUUUUAUCUGAUGCUUUAAUAACCAUCAUAUAAUAAUUAUUUAUUUCAAUUAUAUGGAUCUUGAAUGAUUGCAUCUGGUGAAUUGUUCAAUUGAAAAUUAAGUACAUUAAUUGCUUAUUUACUUAUUCAUUGUUAUAGGUAAGCCAUAUUACCAAACUACACUAGAAACUAGGUUGAUCAUUACCGACAACCUUAUCAACGGAUUCAUCCAUUGAUAAUGCAAAACAUAUUUAUUACAUUACCGACGAAUCAUUGCCGUUAGUAAUUACCAACAACCCCAAGUUGUUGAUAAUGUCAUCAUGUUUCACAUUUCAUUACCGACGACCUGUAGUCCUCAGUAAUUUUCGACAAUCAAGAUUUGUUAAUAAUUAUCGAGGGUCAUAGGUUGUUUGUAAUUACUGACAGAUUCUGUCAACAAUAAUUACCAAGGAUCAAGUCGUCAGUAAUUAUCAACAGUCAGUAUCUAUCGAUAAUGUAUUUUGACAAAGUAUUUACUAACGGAUAAUUAGUCAUUAGAAAUCCAUCAAUAAACAUGUAUUACCAACAAAUUUUAAUGUUAUUGAUAGAUUUUGUCGGUUGGUAAUUCCUGUUUUUUUUGUAGUUAUUUGAUCAUUAUUUUUGGUCUCAUGUUAUCAUAUAAGAACUUUAGUUCAUUACAACAAUACUAGUUGUUCUAUGAUUAAUCAUGUCAUCAAAAUGUUUUAAAAAAUAACUACAUAUUUUUUUAUAAAAGAGCGAAACAGUUUACUAAAAAAAUUACAUGUAACUAUGCUAUCAAACUCGCUAAUGACAUAAAUUAAUUCAUAACUAUAGUUAUUAUUACAUUAUCAACGUAUGCUAAAAGUGACAAUGAGAAAAAGGAUUAGAGAUUCUCUCAAAUUAAAAUUAAGACUAAGGGUUUAAUCACAAAUAAAAUAAUUAGAGAGCUAAACAUACUAUUGUUAAAAUUUUGAGUCUGAUCCACACUAAGAACUUGACUUACAUAGAUUGAACUUACAGUGGAUUGGUUCAUCAAUCUACACUCUUUUUUAUUUUAUUAUAAAUGAGAAUAAAGAAGAAAAUGCAUCAAGAAAAAUAUUACGGAUUUAUCCAUUAAGACUUUAAUAGUAUAGAUUUAUAAGGGUUACAAAAAUUAUUAAUGUUAGAUACUUAUUAAUUUUGUUUUUUAUACAUGAUUUUUAGAUUGUAUUUGGAGUUUGAGAUUAAUUUGAAUUGUAUUAUAUUUUUUAUUUUGAAUUGUCUAAAAAAUUUAACAUCUUUUCGAUUUAAGAUUAUAAUUUAAUUUAUAUUUGACAUUAUUGAAAAGAGAAUAUGUAUUAAUAUUUAACAGAUAUCAUGUAUUUUUGUUGUGAUUUAAUUUUCUGAAAACAAAUUAUAUAAAUAAUAUUCGAACAAUAAAGAGACAUAUACGACAUAAGUACAUAUAUUGAAACAAAAAUUUCAUUCUAAAAAAAAAAUUAUUUAAAAAAUAAAGAUAAAAUAGUUAAAAUCAUAGUCGUCCCACCUUGUUAUCAACCCACAUGUACACAUGUUAAAAUCCUCAUUUCACCAAUGAAUAUUAUAUUUGUUUGUCAAAUUAACUCAUUUAAUAAAUUUUGAUCCUAACCCACACGAAUUAGGAUAAUUUUUUUUAUAAAACUAAAAUAAAAAAUUAUUAAAAAAAUCAUAGCUAAAUAUUUACAAAAUCUUAUGAAUGAAAACCAAUUCAUAAAUAUUUUUCUAACCUGUUAACUCUUUUAUUCUUAAAUAAACAAAUAUAAAAUAUAAACUGGAUGACUUUCCACUUCAUAAAUUAAAUUUAAAUCUAAAAAAUAGAAAAGUGACGCAAAAGGCAUACUGAAACAUUUGAAAUAAGAAAGGUAGAUUUACAUAAAAAUUAAAAUGAAUAGUCAGCGUUUCAAAACCUGUGUAAUUAUAUUUAAGUUUUGAAAACUCCUAUAAUUAUUAUAAGAUUUGGGUUUUAAACCUGAACUUUAAACUUCUCCAAAAAUUGAUUAAAAGGCAAAAGUAUUUUAAAUUUGUUUAUUCUUUUGCUAACCUAAUACAAAGAAUUUUUUUUUAGAAUUUAUGAAUUGAAAGUGCCUUUGUCUUAAUCACUUUGCUUCUCGCACUACAACUUACUAAUAUCAUUUUCGACAUAUUUGGUAAUUUGUUAUGAAACCAUAUUCAAGUAACAUAAUAAAAUAAGUGUUUAUAUAUGGACAAUUACUAGAAGUUUUGACAACAUAUCACUCAUGUUAACUGAGAUUAGUGGGACAGAAACAGUUCAAUUUCAUGAACAAAAGAAAUAUACGAUGCAUCAUAAAAUAAACACAAAAAACAACCCUUAAAUAUCAAUUUCAUACUGUGUUUCUUCUUAAUGAAGAUUAAACAAACAAAUAAAUAUAAUUAUACUAGAGAAUAAAGUUAUCAUAUGCAAUUCAUGGUUUUCCAUAUCCUAGUUCAGCAUUCAAAUCACAGUUUUCAAUGCUCUUUUUUGCUUUCACCAAUGUUCUUCUGUUUAUUUCUAGAUUUACCUCUGCUUUAAUCCUCUUUGUUCUCAAAGUCUUUUCUUUCUUCUCUAAAAUAAAGAUAUUCUCCUCCAAAGUUCACUUUCUCUUCCAACCUUUUUAUCGCAAGAACUUUAUCAAGAGAAGUUUUCAUGCCUAAUGCAGAUUGUACAUGAGGUUUCAACCAUGAUAAAUCAAAUUCAAAAGUUUCAAGUUCCUCCCAUAAAGUUUGGAGAUGAUUACAAGCGUUAUAGUCCAUGUUUCUCACCUUUUUAGUGUUUAGAAAAGGUUUAAUCAUUUCUGAUGUCCUUGUUUAUGUAGAGUUGUCUCAAAUAGAGGUCUUCGUAUUUUAAUUAGUCUCAAUUAGGUCCCUAUUUUUAUAAAUUUAACUCAAUUAAAACCUUGUCGUUAAUUAAAAUGAACUGCGUUAAAAUUUGUGUGUCUUGACUUACUGAUUGUGCAAUUUUUAAUGACGUGACUAUCAAUUAUAAUAAUUAGUUUUAAAUUGGAAUAAUUAGCCUUUAUUAGCUAAUUCUUGUAUAUUUACUUUCCCUUUAUUUAAUUUAAAUUAGUGUUAAAUAUCAAUUAUUAUAAUUGAUAUUAUAAUAAUUGAUAUUAAAUUGGUGGAGUUUAUUUUCUUUUAACUCUUUCCAAUUAGGUUAUCAAUUUGUAUAUUUAUACUAUUGUAAUGAUCAAAUAAGAAAUUCAUCAAAAAUACUUUUCUAUAGUGACACUGUGGUUUGCUGACUGGAUGGCAUAAAAAAGGAUACGACGUCGUUUCCUCUUUCUUCAUCGUUCAAAACAUUUUCCAUUCUUUAAGAUAUCAGAAAAUGGAUCUUUAUCUUCUUUGUUUCGAUUCCAACUUUCCAAAUAUAAAACCCACAGAGCUGAAACCCGUUUUUCGUUUUUGAACAAUUCAAAGUCAUAAUACUCCAAAAAUGUUAUCCCCACUAACCUAUCUUGUGAUUGUCGACGAGAAGACUAUGGACCAUGAUUGACUCCACCUCUACCUCGCACUCCUCUUCUAAGAUAAAGGCCUUUGUCGCUUCCGAACUCCCACAACACUAUAAGAAAUAACAAGAAAAGAAAAAAAAUAAAAGAACUUUAAAAAUUGGGAGCAUUAAAUUUAACAAAUCCAACGAAAACAAAAAUGGUGAUGCUCUUUGGCAAAAAGAGGCUAGAUCCAAGAAUUAAUUAUAAAAGAGCAUUAAAACCCACUAGCACAACAAAUGUAGUGAACGUGUCCUUAGGUAAAGGUUUAUCAACAUGUUUCGUAGGUUUAUCCUUAAUCUUGUGUGUUUGAUCUACUUGAUUAUAUUUCAACUUAUCAAUCUAUUUAAAUCUAUUGUUAGGCUUAUAAAGUUCAUAUAAAGAUAUGAAUUGUACAAAAUUCUAAACAAUUAUUUUAAAAUAAUAAUAAAUAUUUAUAUUCAUUUGAUACAUAUUACGAUUAUAAAAAAAGUAUACUUUUAUAUUUAAAAGAAUAAAAGAAAAAUAAUAUAAAACGAAUGUAAAAAAAUUAUAUGUAUUAAAAUAUUAUUUUUCAUCUCUUUAAUAUGAUAAGUGUUUGUUUCCUGAAAAAAGAAACAUACUAAAACACACUCAAUCACUACAAGAAAGAGAUUUUAUAUGCAUUUGGGCCUGAAAUGCUAUCAAUAUCACUAACAGAUCUUUUAUCUAUAAUUAAUUUGGUCUACCUCUACUAUUAAUGUAUAGUAAAAGUUCAAGUUAAUAUACUAUGCAUUAUUAAAUAAAUACAAAUACAUUGAUUCUAUUAAGGAAGAUUAAUCACAUAGUAGCAUCUAUUCAACACAAUAGAUAUAAUAUACUCCAUAACAAAAUUAUCAUAGCAAAUCAGGUCAAACAUGUCCAACAUAAAAAAUCAUAUCGAUGAUUAGAAGAACAUCUAAAUGUUGAUAAACUUAAAAAGAAAACAUGUCCACUACAAUAAAUUAUUGGGCAAACAACUUAAUCAUGAAUUAUUGUUUACCAUAUGUGAGUUGAGCAUCCAAAUCAUAUUCUUCAAAGCCUACUUUUGUUUGAACCAUGUCUCUUCUUGUUAUUUCUAAAUUUACCUUUGCUUCAAUCAUCUUUGUCGUCAAAUUCUUUAUUUCUUUCUCUAAAACAGCCACAUCAUUCUCCAAAGUAAUAACAUUCUCCUCCAAUCUUUUCAUAGUAAGAACUUUCUCAACACAAGUUUUCAUAUCCAAUGCAGAUUGUACAUGAGGUUUCAGCCAUGACAAAUCAAAUCCAUNUAUCAACAUGUUUCGUAGGUUUAUCCUUAAUCUUGUGUGUUUGAUCUACUUGAUUAUAUUUCAACUUAUCAAUCUAUUUAAAUCUAUUGUUAGGCUUAUAAAGUUCAUAUAAAGAUAUGAAUUGUACAAAAUUCUAAACAAUUAUUUUAAAAUAAUAAUAAAUAUUUAUAUUCAUUUCAUACAUAUAUAACUUUCAUAAAGGAAACUUAUAUAUUUAAAAAAAUAAAAUAAAAAAUAAAGAAAAGAAAUGUAAAAUGAAUGUAAAAAAAUUAUAUGUAUUAAAAUAUUUCCUAAAAAAAGAAACAUACCAAAACUCACUCAAUCACUACAUGGAGGAGAUUUUAUAUGCAUUUGGGCCUGAAAUGCUAUCAAUAUCAUUAACAGAUCUUUUAUCUAUAAUUACUUUGGACUACCUCUAGAAUUAAUGUAUAGUAAAAGUUCAAGUUAAUAUACUAUGCAUCAUUAAAUAAAUACAUAAAUGAACCAUUAAAUAUCAAUUUCAUACUCUGGUUAUAUUAUGGAAGAUUAAUCACAAAGUAGCAUGUAUUCAACACAAUAAAUAUAAUAUACUCAAUAACAAAAUUAUCAUAGCAAUUCAGGUCGAACAUGUUCAACAUAAAAAAAUCAUAUCGAUGAUUAGAAGAACAUCUAAAUGUUGAUAAACUUAACAAGAAAACAUGUCCACUACAAUAAAUUAAUCGGCAAAAACCUUAAUCAUGAAUUAUGGUUUACCAUAUAUGAGUUGAGCAUCCGAGUCAUAUUCUUCAAAGACUUCUUUUGCUUGAACCAAGUCUCUUCUUGUUAUUUCUAUAUUUACCUUUGCUUCAAUCAUCUUCAUCGUCAAAUUCUUUAUUUCUUUCUCUAAAACAUCCACAUCAUUCUCUAAAGUACUUUGGACUACCUCUACAGUUAAUGUAUAGUAAAAGUUCAAGUUAGUAUACUAUAAAUCAUUAAAUAAAUACAUAAAUAUACCCUUAGAUAUCAAUUUCAUACUCUGGUUCUAUUAAGGAAGAUUAAUCACAUAGUAGCCUCUAUUCAACACACUAAAUAUAAUAUACUCCAUAACAAAAUUAUCAUAGCAAAUCAAGUCAAACAUCAUAAAAAAAUCAUAUCGAUGAUUAGAAGAACAUUUAAAUGUUGAUAAACUUAAGAAGAAAACAUGUCCACUACAAUCACGGGUGAGCAAAUCGUACUGUACUGCACUGCUAAAAACUGAACUGUAAAACAGUUCAGACAAACUGAACUGUAAAAUAGUUCAGACAAACUGAACUGAACUAUAUUUUGUUUUAUCAAACUGAACCGUACUGAGUUGUAUUGUACUGCAGUAUGAACUGAACUAUUAACUGAACUGUAAACUGAACUAAACUAUUAACUGAAUUGUAAAUUACACUAACUGAACUUAACUAAAUUGUAAACUACACUAAUUUUAACUAAACUACAAUAUAAAUUGAACUGAACUAGUAACUAUACUAAUUUUAAAUUGAAUUGUACUAAUUUUUAAACUAAAUAGUAUAACAAUACAUNUUCUUUUUAAUUGAAAUUUAUUUUAAUAUUUAUUUUAUUUUAUUCAUAAAUGUCUAAUAAAUUAAUUUUUAAUUAUUUAAUAUUAUUAUUUUCUAUUUUAUUUAUAUUUCUUUUAUUAUUAAAAUUUAUUUUAUUAUUAAUUUAUUUUAUUAAUAAAAAAAUAUAAAUAUAUAUAUAUAUAUAUAUAUAUAUAUAUAUAUAUAUAUAUAUAUAUAUUUAUAUAUAUAUAUAUAUAUAUAUAUAUAACUUAAAAAAUAUAAAAAUAUAAAUUACAUUUUUUAUUUUUAUUGAUAAAAAUAUAAAUUUUGUGAUAAAAAAGUUGUUUUAAAAAAUUAAUUAUUUUUUUUUAUGUGAACAGUUAUUUUAAUUAAUAUUUUAUUAUUAAAUAAAGUUUUUUUGACAAGAUGAAACAAUUGAACUGAAAUUAGAGAAGAGUUCUCACAGUUAAAUGCAGUACAGUACAAAUCAGUUAUUUUUACCCAGUCCUAACUACAAUUAAUUAUUCGGCAAAAACCUUAAUCAUGAAUUAUGGUUUAUCAUAUAUGAGUUGAGCAUCCAAAUCACAUUCUUCCAAGCCUUCUUUUUCUUGAACCAAGUCUCUUCUUGUUAUUUCUAGAUUUAACUUUGCUUCAAUCAUCUUUUUCGUCAAAUUCUUUAUUUCUUUCUCUAAAACAGCCACAUCAUUCUCCAAAGUAGUCACAUUCUCCUCGAAUCUUUUGAUAAUAAGAACUUUCUCAACACAAGUUUUCAUAUCCAACGCAGAUUGUACAUGAGGUUUCAGCCAUGACAAAUCAAAUCCAAAUAUUUCUAAUUCCUCCCAUAAAGUUUGGAGAUAAUUGUAAGCAUCAUCGUCCAUAUUUCUCCCUUUUUUAAUGUUGACAAAAUAAAGAACUCUACCAAGUGCUGUAAAAGCCCAUUCAUUAAUUUUUUUACUAUUCUUCUUCUUGCUAUCAAGAAGUGAAGGAUAUCGUGAACAAACUUCUUUCAACAGAGGAAUAAAAUCCACGAUCUCAUCAGUUGAGUUUGAGAUCAUUUUCUUGGUUGAAAAAUUCUCCUCCUUGUUUUGGACAAGCUUAUUAUCAAUGCUCCUCAAUGAUUCACCUUGUUUCUCAUGAUCUGACUUAUGAACCGAUAUAUGAAGUUCAACUAUACAAAUAUCAUUCACGAUGAACCCAUCAGUAGAGGUGUAAAUUAUACACGAAUGGUCAUUCCUUGAAGGUGUGACUAAUUCCUGACAAAUUCAUACACCAAGAAGAGUGAGUUGUGUAUCGAGUUUAAAACAAAAUAAUAUGAUUAUCAUAAGUCUAAUUGUGAAAUUUACCUUCUAUUAUAUUCCUAGUGGGGUUUAGCUGAUUAAUCAGAAUGAAUUUUAAAUUUGCAAAUUUUUCACAUCGACGAGGCCAACCACUAACAGAAUCCAAAAUAAUUGCCAAAUACAACUUCUCUGUUGCAGCUCGAAUGAUACGAAUCGCCCUAAAGACAAAGAAACCAAAUUAAUGAGAAAACAGAUAAAAUCAUAAGAAAGAGCAACAUGUAGAUUAUGUAUAAUAAUUCAAUCAAGAACCAUGUAUGGCCAUCGACAAUAAACGUUUUCAAAUAUUCUUUGUGGCAAACGUUUGACGAGAAGUUUGUAAGGGUCCAGGUAAACUUCUGAAACACUUUAUACUUUGUAUUCUGAUUCUCCAUUGCAGAAACUUGUAAGCUUCAACCGUAGCACUGACAAAAGCAAACAAUAUUGGUUUUCACUUAAGAAGAUCAAACGAUUGGGUAUCUAUGGGAAACGAACAUCUACGAUGGUUGAGUUCACAAAGAACUUCCAUAAUAUCACACUUACAAAAUUUUUAUAAACUUUUCAGAUGUGUUUUGAAAGUUGAUGUACAUUUAUACAUAUGAAAAUUUAAGUAAUAUUGGAUUACGUAUUAAAAAAUGAUUGGAAGUUGUUUUUACAUUAUUUAAUUCUGUUUUCCAAUAUGCUGGAAAUUAAACCACAACAAGAUAACUGUAAAAGUCACAGAUUUUAAUAACUCUACUCAAUGUAGUCUUCCAGAAAAGUUUAUUCAUUUUAUUGGAUGAAAUAUUAAAAUCACACUUUUUUAACCUAUUCUUAUUUUUGAAAAUAAGUGUAGUCGUGUAUUAAGAUAUACUGUAAUAAGAUAGAAUUUUGUAACAAAAAUAAUAUAAUAUUAUAAUUAAGGUAAACAAUUAGAAUCAAUUAUCAUUGUACUGUAACCUUAUAUAUUAACUAUAAAAUUUCAUGAUCUCAUAUUUUUUAAUCAAUGAAAAGAAAUAAGAUUAUGGUAAAAGAUAAUAGUCAUGUUAUUUAUAAAAAAAUUAAAGUACAAAUAUUUAAUUNNNNNNNNNNNNNNNNNNNNNNNNNNNNNNNNNNNNNNNNNNNNNNNNNNNNNNNNNNNNNNNNNNNNNNNNNNNNNNNNNNNNNNNNNNNNNNNNNNNNNNNNNNNNNNNNNNNNNNNNNNNNNNNNNNNNNNNNNNNNNNNNNNNNNNNNNNNNNNNNNNNNNNNNNNNNNNNNNNNNNNNNNNNNNNNNNNNNNNNNNNNNNNNNNNNNNNNNNNNNNNNNNNNNNNNNNNNNNNNNNNNNNNNNNNNNNNNNNNNNNNNNNNNNNNNNNNNNNNNNNNNNNNNNNNNNNNNNNNNNNNNNNNNNNNNNNNNNNNNNNNNNNNNNNNNNNNNNNNNNNNNNNNNNNNNNNNNNNNNNNNNNNNNNNNNNNNNNNNNNNNNNNNNNNNNNNNNNNNNNNNNNNNNNNNNNNNNNNNNNNNNNNNNNNNNNNNNNNNNNNNNNNNNNNNNNNNNNNNNNNNNNNNNNNNNNNNNNNNNNNNNNNNNNNNNNNNNNNNNNACCUUGGCCACUGAUGAUGGAAGAACCCCAGAUGCUCUCUCCACGUACAAGCAAUCGUUACCAGAUGUCUAACAAAAUGUUUGAACAACUAAGAAUACAUUUCAAAAAUGUUUGGACAACACAGGAAAAACAUUAGUACCUUAGGGUUACAGAUUUGCUUCUUUUUUCUAGCUAAAGAUAAGUGUUCUCAAAAUCUUCGUAGGUGGUGGUAGAACCUCGGCGACGCAGAGUGCGGCAAAGCCUUCGAUAGCGGCGAGACUUCGACAGCAGCGAGCCUUCGACGACGGUGAACCUUCGACAGCAGAGAACCUUCAACAGUGGUAGCCUCGGCAGCAGUUUUAAACAGCGGUAACCUUCAACAACAGCAGCGAGUGAGUGGGAUGAAUGGGAUGUAAGGCAGAAAGCAAAUGAAGCUGUGAUUGGGAAAGCAGAUAUAAACCUAAACUUUGGUUAAAGACGCAGCACACUCCUAGGGUUCCACCAGCUCACCACCGAACGCCGACAGGGAAGCACACUGCUCAGACGAUGGAAGGUUAAAGACGCAGCACAGACAGAACAGAAACACACAGAAUAAUACUUCUCAGAUUUUCAUUAGCUUUCAAAAUAUGUUUUACA
rnacentral:lncRNA from 1 species